GAAGUAAAAGUCGUAACAAGGUUUCCGUAGGUGAACCUGCGGAAGGAUCAUUAUCGUACAAAAUGUGUAGAGGCAUGCCGGGGUUGUCGCCGACCGAAAUGUUGUGCACGCCACAGUGUGUCCUCUCACAUAACAAUCCAUCUCACCCUUUGUGCACCACCGCGUGGGCACCCUCUGGGAUCGCACCGACCUCAGAGGGGACUCGCGUUUUCACACAAAACCCCCCCUUUGAAAAAGUAUAGAAUGUACUCAUUUACGCAAUCAAUACAACUUUCAACAACGGAUCUCUUGGCUCUCGCAUCGAUGAAGAACGCAGCGAAAUGCGAUACGUAAUGUGAAUUGCAGAAUUCAGUGAAUCAUCGAAUCUUUGAACGCACCUUGCGCCCCUUGGUAUUCCGAGGGGCACACCCGUUUGAGUGUCGUGAAAAUCUCAACCUCCUUGGUUUCUUCUGGAGAUCAAAGGAGGCUUGGACUUUGGAGGCCUUUGCUGGCAUCUCUCUCCUUUGAAAGGUGGCCAGCUCCUCUUGAAUGAAUUAGCGGGGUCCUCUUUGCCGAUCCUUGACAUGUGAUAAGAUGUUUCCGUGUCUCGGUUUCUGGCUCUGUUGCUUUUGGGACCCGCUUCCAACCGUCUCAACAUCGAGACAAUGUUCGAGCCUGUUGCCCUUCUCGGGAAACGCUCUCGACCCCCCACGAACCCUUGACCUCAAAUCGGGUGAGACUACCCGCUGAACUUAAGCAUAUCAA
rnacentral:rRNA from 1 species